rnacentral:rRNA from 1 species
UACGUAGGGGGCAAGCGUUGUCCGGAUUUAUUGGGCGUAAAGAGCGUGUAGGCGGCCUGGGAGGUCCGUUGUGAAAACUCGAGGCUCAACCUCGAGACGCCGAUGGAAACCCCCUGGCUAGAGUCCGGAAGAGGAGAGUGGAAUUCCUGGUGUAGCGGUGAAAUGCGCAGAUAUCAGGAGGAACACCGAUGGCGAAGGCAGGUCUCUGGGCCACUACUGACGCUGAGAAGCGAAAGCAUGGGGAGCGAACAGG